GGACUACCGGGGUAUCUAAUCCUGUUUGAUACCCACGCUUUCGUGCCUCAGCGUCAGUUACAGUUUUGUGAGCUGCCUUCGCAAUCGGUGUUCUGUGUCAUAUCUAAGCAUUUCACCGCUACACGACACAUUCCGCCCACAUCAUAUGUACUCAAGAUCGGCAGUAUCAAUGGCAAUUCUGCAGUUAAGCUGCAGGAUUUCACCACUGACUUACCGUUCCGCCUACGCACCCUUUAAACCCAAUAAAUCCGGAUAACGCUUGCAUCCUCCGUAUUACCGCGGCUGCUGGCAC
rnacentral:rRNA from 1 species